rnacentral:rRNA from 1 species
GUGGGGAAUAUUGCACAAUGGAGGGAACUCUGAUGCAGCAACGCCGCGUGAAGGAAGAAGGUUUUCGGAUCGUAAACUUCUAUCAACAGGGACGAAAAAAAUGACGGUACCUGAAUAAGAAGCCCCGGCUAACUACGUGCCAGCAGCCGCGGUAAUACGUAGGGGGCAAGCGUUAUCCGGAAUUACUGGGUGUAAAGGGAGAGUAGGCGGCAUGACAAGCAAGAUGUGAAAGCCCGGGGCUUAACCGCGGGACGGCAUAAUGAACAGACAGGCUAGAGUACAGGAGAGGUAAGCGGAAUUCCUAGUGUAGCGGUGAAAUGCGUAGAUAUUAAGAAGAACACCGGUGGCGAAGGCGGCUUACUGGACUGAAACUGACGCUGAGGCUCGAAAGCGUGGGGAGCGAACAGGAUUAGAUACCCUUGUAGUCC